GAAAGGCGCGCGAUACAGGGUGACAGCCCCGUACACAAAAAUGCACAUGCUGUGAGCUCGAUGAGUAGGGCGGGACACGUGGUAUCCUGUCUGAAUAUGGGGGGACCAUCCUCCAAGGCUAAAUACUCCUGACUGACCGAUAGUGAACCAGUACCGUGAGGGAAAGGCGAAAAGAACCCCGGCGAGGGGAGUGAAAAAGAACCUGAAACCGUGUACGUACAAGCAGUGGGAGCACGCUUAGGCGUGUGACUGCGUACCUUUUGUAUAAUGGGUCAGCGACUUAUAUUCUGUAGCAAGGUUAACCGAAUAGGGGAGCCGAAGGGAAACCGAGUCUUAACUGGGCGUUAAGUUGCAGGGUAUAGACCCGAAACCCGGUGAUCUAGCCAUGGGCAGGUUGAAGGUUGGGUAACACUAACUGGAGGACCGAACCGACUAAUGUUGAAAAAUUAGCGGAUGACUUGUGGCUGGGGGUGAAAGGCCAAUCAAACCGGGAGAUAGCUGGUUCUCCCCGAAAGCUAUUUAGGUAGCGCCUCGUGAAUUCAUCUCCGGGGGUAG
rnacentral:rRNA from 1 species